rnacentral:lncRNA from 1 species
UGGCCUUCCACCCAGAGAAGGGGUGGCCCUUGAGCUAAAGCUCAAAGAUUUAGAGUUUGCCAGGCAAGUGCUUUAGAGCUAAAGCUCAAAGAUUUAGAGUUUGCCAGGCAAGUGCUUCGGACAGAGGAAACAGCAAGAGCAUAGACCUGGCAGUGGGAAAGGCAGGGAAGUGCAAGAGAUGGAGGGAGCCUGGAUCCUAGGGUGCAGUGGGGCAAGCGGGGAGCUGGGAACUGACCUGUAAGGGCAGCAAGGAGGAAGCCAGGGAGACUGCCACACCUGCCAGAGGGUGCUGCAGCCUGUCACAGGGCAUUACUGCUGCAAGGCAGGAAAGGUGAGCAGCCCAGGUGCAGACGUUGAGUGCAAAAGAGUUUUGUGAGGUUCUGGGAGGUACUUGAAAU